CUCCUCCGCGCCCCUUACCCUCAUCUGCCCCGCUUUUUGGGGAUGACAGGGAAUCGGCUGCUUUGAUUUCCCUGGGAAUAACUUUUUGCCGUGUGAAAUUACCUCGCGAUGGGUCCGGGUCUCGCUCGCGGGUUUCUCACGGCUUUGCUCCGACCGCGGCUGACUUUUAACUCCGGUAUCGGUGGAAUGGCACGUCCAGAGACGGAACAGAGCCGGGGCAGGAGCUGGCGCACCAGGAGCGGCUGAGGGAGCGGGGCGGGGGGCUCAGCCUGGCGAAAAGGAACCCGCGGGGGACCUUCUGGCUCUGCACAACUCCCUGACGGGAGGGGGCAGCCAGGAAGUGGUCGGGCUCUACUCCCAGAGAACAAGGCACAGAACAAGAGGAAACGUCCUCAAGCUGCAUCAGGGGAGUUUUAGGUUGGACAUCAGGAAGAAUUCCUUCAUGGAAAGGGUUGUCAGGCCUUGGAAGAGACUGCCCAGGGAGGUGGUGGAGUCCCCAUCCAUGGGGGUGUCCAAGGAAUGAAUGGACAUGGCACUCAGUGCUCUGGCUGAGUGACGAGGCAGUGUUUGGUCAAAGGUUGGACUCACUGAUCUUGGAGGUCUUUUUCAACCUUUAGGGAUUUGAAGAUUCUAUAACUUUUUCUCCCUGUAGUUAAGUAAAAGUUAAUUUGUAACUUUAUGUUUUUCCAAAGUGUAAUUAAGAUUUUCUCGUGUUCCUCCUGUUUUAAAUCCAGUCUCAAGUCCACAGAAUGUGUGCGUUUGGGGGCUAUUAAACAUUCCCUGUCCAGCACCACAGGUUCUGCUCCACAGGUCACAUUCCUGACUGCAAAUGGGAGUUCAACUCCUGAGCAGCCCAACUUCUGUCCAUGGAUUAUUUAUCCCCUACUUGAAUGGUUCUUGCACACCUCAAUACUUCUCAGGUGAUUUAUCACUCCAACAGCCCCCGGAUGCAGAACAUUGAAGAGAAAGGUUCAGGUGGGUUUACUGAUGAGCAGCAUGGAUUUCACUGGAGAUCACUAGUCAGGAUCACACACCCCAGAACCACAGAGACAGGUAGGGAGCUUCUGUAUCCCUAUGGAAAGAUAAUGGCAUAGGUAAUAUCUGCUCUCCUGGUCACAAAUAGCUGCAGCUGUUUCAGGUGCUUGAACAUCUGUAGGGACAAUUCCACCCAGCAAGUUCCUGCUGCAGGGAAUGAUUUCGGGAAAACAUGGGCAGAAUUGAGAUGCUGUUUCCAUGUGCCUUCUAGACCAGUAUCAAGAAGGAAUGAGCUCCUGAGAUUUGUAACCCAGGUUGAACCUGCUGAGGGAGAGGCUGCAGCCAUACUGGGCUGGAUUUGCUGGAAGCUCCGGACACCCACUCUGCAGCUCCUCCACCUCCACCUGGGCACUUGGACCCAGCUCCUGUAUGGCAGGAUAAUCUUCCCUGCUCAUCUCAGACACAGAUACCAGCUGGUGUGUGAAACAGCUGGGGAUGUGUGAUCCCAGCUACAAAAUAAAGCUACGCCUGCUUUUAAUAUAGGAACUGGUGUUAGAAAGCUUUUUUGCAUGGUUUGUUCCUCAGCAGUGCUGAAGAAAAAGGAGACCAUGGCCAAG